CUUAAUAUGUGGGCCAUCCAUACCCUUAAAACCUAAGUAUAAAUACAACAUUUUAUUGUUUUUUCCAGCCUUUAAUUCAAUUUUCCCUACCCUAGCCAUUCACCCUCUUCCUCUCCUCUUUUCUCUUCAAUUUUCUUUCUUUCUCCCAUUAUUAUCGUCACCUACACCUGCCAUUUUACCAUCUCUUUCUUCUUAUUUUUGCAUCAAGAUUGUGCACCAUUUCCUUCAAUCUAUUUCUGAAAUUUAUUCUCAUCUAAAUCAGCCCCAAAUCUGAAUCUUGAACCCCAAGAUCGAUCCCGAACAUUGCCAAGAAAGUGUCAUUGUCGUUUCUCUCAACUAGCUUGGGUGCUGACCGAAACGCCCCAAUUCAUUCGUAAAGCCGAAGAAUGAUUGUACAUAUAGUUCGCAUCAAUACAGUGUUCGCUUAAGGAAUUUUUAAGGAAAAUUGGAAUAUUCACUAGUGUGCUGCGAUGAAGCGAAAAAUAAGAGGAAGAUCAAACAAUUUAUCUACAAGUAAAAUGGCAGUGCAAAGUCACAACCAUGCGACAGUUCCUAUCUGCAAACUACUUGGUAUCCACAUCCAAAGGAAGAUUCCAUCUUUGGAUACGACUGUGAAUCCAUGCCAAAGGUCGAUUCCAACGGCGAGUCCAUGUUGUAGGAUAUACAGCCAAAAAGUAGAUUUCAUCUGCAGGAAUUUUACUGUGAACCUACAGCCAGAGGCAGAUUCCAACCCUGGGGACUUACUGUGUCUCCACAAAAAAAUAGUAGUUAUUAUCUACAAACCAGUAGUAGUUUAUCCAUAACUAGGUGUGUUGGAGAAGGGAGUUCUUGGGAACUCCCAUUAUGGUGUGUAGUAGUGGGGUAGAAUUUAUUCAAUUUAAUCUCGAAACUGUAUGACAUCAUUUAAAUCAUGUGCAUACAAAUCUGGAAAAUAUGUUACGACAUAUA